rnacentral:snRNA from 1 species
CUGUGUGAGAAUAAUCUGGCUGUGACAUCUGGCACCCCCUGGGUUGCCAGGCUGAUCUGAGUGUCUAGGCAGAGGUCACUUCUUUUCUCCUUUUGAAGCACGGUGUCUAGAAGCUGUGCUAAGAGUAUGACCUUUUCAGUAGAGCAGACUGUCCUCCAGUCAAGGGUACCUGAAUAUGUGCUGUCCUUCAAGAACCUCCAAACAAGCUCUGAGAGUAUUGUCUUCCCACCAAGCAACUGGCCUUUGGUGUGGUAGUAUAAACAUAAUAAUACCUUGAAGAGUUAAGUUUU